AACGACAUGCCCUAAAUGGUCAAG
rnacentral:siRNA from 1 species